UACGAAGGGGGCUAGCGUUGUUCGGAUUUACUGGGCGUAAAGCGCACGUAGGCGGCUUUGUAAGUUAGAGGUGAAAGCCCGGGGCUCAACCCCGGAACUGCCUUUAAGACUGCAUCGCUUGAAUCAUGGAGAGGUCAGUGGAAUUCCGAGUGUAGAGGUGAAAUUCGUAGAUAUUCGGAAGAACACCAGUGGCGAAGGCGACUGACUGGACAUGUAUUGACGCUGAGGUGCGAAAGCGUGGGGAGCAAACAGG
rnacentral:rRNA from 1 species